rnacentral:rRNA from 1 species
AGCGGCGAACGGGUGAGUAACACGUAGGUGAUCUGCCCAUCAGACGGGGACAACGAUUGGAAACGAUCGCUAAUACCGGAUAGGACGAAAGUAUAAAGGUGCUUCUGGCACCGCUGAUGGAUGAGCCUGCGGCGCAUUAGCUAGUUGGUAGGGUAAAGGCCUACCAAGGCGACGAUGCGUAGCCGACCUGAGAGGGUGAACGGCCACACUGGGACUGAGACACGGCCCAGACUCCUACGGGAGGCAGCAGUAGGGAAUCUUCGGCAAUGGGCGAAAGCCUGACCGAGCAACGCCGCGUGAAUGAUGAAGGCCUUCGGGUUGUAAAAUUCUGUUAUAAGGGAAGAACGACUUUAGUAGGAAAUGGCUAGAGUGUGACGGUACCUUAUGAGAAAGCCACGGCUAACUACGAGCCAGCAGCCGCGGUAAUACGUAGGUGGCGAGCGUUAUCCGGAAUUAUUGGGCGUAAAGAGCGCGCAGGUGGUUGAUUAAGUCUGAUGUGAAAGCCCACGGCUUAACCGUGGAGGGUCAUUGGAAACUGGUCGACUUGAGUGCAGAAGAGGGAAGUGGAAUUCCAUGUGUAGCGGUGAAAUGCGUAGAGAUAUGGAGGAACACCAGUGGCGAAGGCGGCUUCCUGGUCUGUAACUGACACUGAGGCGCGAAAGCGUGGGGAGCAAACAGGAUUAGAUACCCUGGUAGUCCACGCCGUAAACGAUGAGUGCUAAGUGU